GGUUGUGUAGUGUAGUGGUUAUCACUUUGGAUUUUGAAGCUUUCGAAUUCCAAUAACCCCGGUUCGAACCCGGGCACGACCU